GACGAACGCUGGCGGCGUGCUUAGCACAUGCAAGUCGAACGGAAAGGCCCUGCUUUUGUGGGGUGCUCGAGUGGCGAACGGGUGAGCAACACGUGAGUAACCUGCCCUUGACUUUGGGAUAACUUCAGGAAACUGGGGCUAAUACCGGAUAGGAGCUCCUGCUGCAUGGUGGGGGUUGGAAAGUUUCGGCGGUUGGGGAUGGACUCGCGGCUUAUCAGCUUGUUGGUGGGGUAGUGGCUUACCAAGGCUUUGACGGGUAGCCGGCCUGAGAGGGUGACCGGCCACAUUGGGACUGAGAUACGGCCCAGACUCCUACGGGAGGCAGCAGUGGGGAAUAUUGCACAAUGGGCGGAAGCCUGAUGCAGCAACGCCGCGUGCGGGAUGACGGCCUUCGGGUUGUAAACCGCUUUCGCCUGUGACGAAGCGUGAGUGACGGUAAUGGGUAAAGAAGCACCGGCUAACUACGUGCCAGCAGCCGCGGUGAUACGUAGGGUGCGAGCGUUGUCCGGAUUUAUUGGGCGUAAAGGGCUCGUAGGUGGUUGAUCGCGUCGGAAGUGUAAUCUUGGGGCUUAACCCUGAGCGUGCUUUCGAUACGGGUUGACUUGAGGAAGGUAGGGGAGAAUGGAAUUCCUGGUGGAGCGGUGGAAUGCGCAGAUAUCAGGAGGAACACCAGUGGCGAAGGCGGUUCUCUGGGCCUUUCCUGACGCUGAGGAGCGAAAGCGUGGGGAGCGAACAGGCUUAGAUACCCUGGUAGUCCACGCUGUAAACGGUGGGUACUAGGUGUGGGGUCCAUUCCACGGGUUCCGUGCCGUAGCUAACGCUUUAAGUACCCCGCCUGGGGAGUACGGCCGCAAGGCUAAAACUCAAAGGAAUUGACGGGGCCCCGCACAAGCGGCGGAGCAUGCGGAUUAAUUCGAUGCAACGCGUAGAACCUUACCUGGGUUUGACAUGGAUCGGGAGUGCUCAGAGAUGGGUGUGCCUCUUUUGGGGUCGGUUCACAGGUGGUGCAUGCCUGUCGUCAGCUCGUGUCGUGAGAUGUUGGGUUAAGUCCCGCAACGAGCGCAACCCUUGUUCACUGUUGCCAGCACGUUAUGGUGGGGACUCAGUGGAGACCGCCGGGGUCAACUCGGAGGAAGGUGGGGAUGACGUCAAGUCAUCAUGCCCCUUAUGUCCAGGGCUUCACGCAUGCUACAAUGGCUGGUACAGAGAGUGGCGAGCCUGUGAGGGUGAGCGAAUCUCGGAAAGCCGGUCUCAGUUCGGAUUGGGGUCUGCAACUCGACCUCAUGAAGUCGGAGUCGCUAGUAAUCGCAGAUCAGCAACGCUGCGGUGAAUACGUUCCCGGGGCU
rnacentral:rRNA from 1 species